GGUUAAGUGAAUAAGGGCGCACGGUGGAUGCCUUGGCACUAGGAGCCGAUGAAGGACGGGACUAACACCGAUAUGCUUUGGGGAGCUGUACGUAAGCUAUGAUCCAGAGAUUUCCGAAUGGGGGAACCCAGCAUCUUUAAUAGGAUGUUACGAUUGUGUGAAUACAUAGCACAUUCGAGGUAGACGCAGAGAACUGAAACAUCUAAGUACCUGCAGGAAGAGAAAGAAAAUUCGAUUCCCUGAGUAGCGGCGAGCGAAACGGGAAAAGCCCAAACCAGCAAGCUUGCUUGUUGGGGUUGUAGGACUCCAAUAUGGUAGUUCUUUCAGAUAGUCGAAUGACUUGGAAAAGUCAGUCAAAGAGGGUAAAAACCCCGUAGACGAAAUGUGGAAGACACCUAGGAGGAUCCUGAGUACGGCGGAACACGAGAAAUUCCGUCGGAAUCCGGGAGGACCAUCUCCCAAGGCUAAAUACUCCCUAGUGACCGAUAGUGAACCAGUACCGUGAGGGAAAGGUGAAAAGCACCCCGGAAGGGGAGUGAAAUAGAACCUGAAACCGUGUGCCUACAACAAGUCAAAGCCCGUUAAUGGGUGAUGGCGUGCCUUUUGUAGAAUGAACCGGCGAGUUACGAUUGCAUGCGAGGUUAAGUUGAAGAGACGGAGCCGCAGCGAAAGCGAGUCUGAAUAGGGCGUUUGAGUAUGUAGUCGUAGACCCGAAACCAUGUGAUCUACCCAUGUCCAGGUUGAAGGUGCGGUAAAACGCACUGGAGGACCGAACCCACGUACGUUGAAAAGUGCGGGGAUGAGGUGUGGGUAGCGGAGAAAUUCCAAACGAACUUGGAGAUAGCUGGUUCUCUCCGAAAUAGCUUUAGGGCUAGCCUCGGAAUUGAGAAUGAUGGAGGUAGAGCACUGUUUGGACUAGGGGCCCAUCUCGGGUUACCGAAUUCAGAUAAACUCCGAAUGCCAUUCAUUCAUAUCCGGGAGUCAGACUGUGAGUGAUAAGAUCCAUAGUCGAAAGGGAAACAGCCCAGACCACCAGCUAAGGUCCCAAAAUAUAUGUUAAGUGGAAAAGGAUGUGGGGUUGCACAGACAACUAGGAUGUUGGCUUAGAAGCAGCCACCAUUUAAAGAGUGCGUAAUAGCUCACUAGUCGAGUGACCCUGCGCCGAAAAUGUACCGGGGCUAAAC
rnacentral:rRNA from 1 species